AUGAAUCCAGGCAGUGGCACAGAGCAGAAUCCCCCAAGCAUGCCCAAGCUGGCCUUGGGGAAGGAGGAGAAAGAAGGCGCUGGAACUACCCCAGCACAGCAGCCUGAAGAGGUGCAGCAGUUCCAGCAGGAGGGUGCAGCCAUGGAGCGCACACGAGAGCAGCACCGCACCCGCGGCCUCUUCCGCUCAACAGCGCAGUUGGUUUGCAAAUUCAUGAAGAGAAUUCGCGAGGAAGAGACCGGCGUCAUGGGCACUGCGCUCAGAGCAUACUCUCCCAUCUUCAAAAGCAAGACCAGUGCUGCCCUGCUGGAUAUGCUUGUGCAGGAAGGUCCUUCCAAUGCAAAGCAAGUAAGCAGCCUGUGGCCUGCCUUCGAUCCUCCCAGGAAUUGCUUGGCCUCUCGAGCCAUGCCUGAUGCUCACUGUAAGCCUCAGAAGGCAUGGGGUGAGGCCAAAGCUCCGCGCCGCUUCUCUGGGCCAGCUGGACACAUGACUCCCUUGGCAACUUCCCAAGUCUCCUGUGCCUUCUGCAGGUGCCCGCCAUGGUGAGGUACAUCCACCAGUGGCUCACGGCCAAUGAGAGGCCUGAGUACAAUGUGUACAGGCCCCUUCUGGACCUGACAGAGGCACAGCCCGCUGACGUGGUGAUGGCUCUCCUGCGUGCGGCCCCAUCGUGUGACAGGUAUGGGGCCCACGUGCCCACAAGGCUCAGGGAUCACCAGCCCAUCACCCUGUACAGCCUGUCCCAGGUGUCUGGGAAACAGAGAAUUCCAGGGGCCCUCUGGCUCCUCCUUUUGCCAGCCUUGGCAUGUCAGC
rnacentral:lncRNA from 12 species